rnacentral:misc_RNA from 1 species
AUAAAAGUACCUCAGGCUGAGAAGAAUUUGCAGAUGAAUGAUAUAUCUUUCUAUUUGUUAGUGUCAGUGCAAAAGUUUGUUUGAGACUUGGCCACUUUAAGUGAACAAGAUAUAAGAUUGAUUUAUGGCUUACAUACAAGAUCAAUUGUUCAAAAAUGUUAAUAAAAAAUAUAAAAAAUUUCAUAUAAGAUAAAUUCAUUACUUGGCCAAAAACAUAAACUCCAUGAGAGAGUGUCAAGUACAUAAGAACAUUGAAAGAAGUAAAAUGGGAAAAAAGAACCUGGCUUACUCUAGGUUUUAUUGUUGUGAACAUCCUCAUUUAAGAAUUUUAAUUAGCGAUAAGGUAGCCAACUAUGCUUUAUUUUUUUUCUUUUUUGAAUGAAUGCUUUAAAUUAAUUUAAAAAAAAUAAUAACUUCAAUUAGCAACAAAUAAAAGCAAUAAUAAUACUAAUCUAAGAGAAGAUGUUUAGAAUAGCCUGGGAUAUGUCGAUCGAGGCACGCAAAUUCUGCGCUGUCCUUAGAGGUUAGCUAAGCUACUCCUAUGAUUGUUUUUUCAUAUUUGUUUACUUGAACCACCCUUCAACUUAAUUGUCCAAGUGUUCAUAGAGAUAAAUCAAAACUGUAAUCAAAUUUAUAUGUAAUUUACUUGUUUAAGAAUCACAUUUUUGAACAUUAAAAACUUGUUAGGCUUCUGCACAGUGACAAAGCCCAAGCCCAG